rnacentral:tRNA from 1 species
GUCGUGGUGGCCGAGUGGUUAAGGCGUUGGACUAGAAAUCCAACGGGGUUUCCCCGCACAGGUUAGAAUCCUGCCCGCGACG